rnacentral:rRNA from 1 species
ACGAGGGGUGCUAGCGUUGUCCGGAAUCAUUGGGCGUAAAGGGUCCGUAGGCGAUCUAACAAGUCAAUUGUUAAAUACAUCGGCUUAACCGAUGAAAUGCAGUUGAAACUGUUAGAAUAGAGUUUAGGAGAGGAAAGUGGAAUUUCUGGUGUAGCGGUGACAUGCGUAGAUAUCAGAAGGAACACCAAUGGCGAAGGCAACUUUCUGGCCUAAAACUGACGCUGAGGGACGAAAGCGUGGGGAGCGAACAGG